rnacentral:rRNA from 12 species
UUUAGCAGCCAGUGUGAGUGCGUGAUAGCGUCCAAUUAUGGAAGCUAAGCAGGGCCAUGCUAGGCUAGUACUUGGAUGGGAGACCAACAUGGAAGACCAGGGGCUGCUAGCC